rnacentral:rRNA from 1 species
CUGUGCAAAGGUAGCAUAAUCAUUAGCUUUUUAAUUGAAGGCUUGUAUGAAGGGUCUGACAAAGAAAAAGCUGUCUUUAAAAUUAUUUUUGAAUUUAACUUUUAAGUGAAAAGGCUUAAAUAAAUUUAAGGGACGAUAAGACCCUAUAAAUCUUUAUAUUAAAUUAUUAUUCUGAAUUUUAAUAUUUGUUUAGAUAUUAGUUAUAAUAAUAAAUAUUUUGUUGGGGUGACGAGAAUAUAAAAUUAACUGUUCUUAAAAUAAACAAAGUUAUUUGUUGAAAAAUUUAUAGAUCCUUUUUAAAGAUUAAAAGUUUAAGUUACUUUAGGGAUAACAGCGUUAUUUUUUUUGAGAGUUCUUAUCGAAAAAAAAGUUUGCGACCUCGAUGUUGAAUUAAAAUUUCUCUACGGUGUAGAAGUUGUGGAAGAGAGUCUGUUCGACUUUUGAAAUUUU